AUUGAACGCUGGCGGCAGGCCUAACACAUGCAAGUCGAGCGAGUGGCGGACGGGUGAGUAAUGUAUGGGGCCUGCCUGAUAGAGGGGGAUAACUUCUGGAAACGGUGGCUAAUACCGCAUACUAUCGGAUAACCCAUAUGGGUUGAGCUGGUAGGGGGGGUAAAGGCUCACCUAGGCGACGAUCUCUAGCUGGUCGGAGAGGAUGAUCGGCCACACUGGAAGGUAGACACGGCCCAGACGCCUACGGAGGCAGAAGUGGGGAAUAUUGCACAAUGGGCGCAAGCCUUAGACAGCCAUGCCGCGUGUAUGAAGAGGGCCUUAGGGUUGGAAAGUACUUUCAGCGGGGAGGCGUUACUCGCAGAAGAAGCACCGGCUAACUCCGUGCCAGCAGCCGCGGUAAUAC
rnacentral:rRNA from 1 species